rnacentral:lncRNA from 1 species
ACGUAAUAAACACCACUCUUUUCUCAUUUCAUAUGCAAUCACAAGUACAUGAGCAAACUGUACUAAUACAUUAGCAACAACAUAUUUCAAUGCGUUUAUUCAAACACAAACACUCAAGAAAACAGCACCACGCUCACAAAGAAGAAGAAAAGACGUAUAUGAUGUGAAAUUUCCAAACAUCUUGGCAUUUCUCUAUGGAACAAAUGCACCAUUGUACUUUUUCACGGCCUCUCUGCUAUCAAUUGUUCCUGAGUACUUCAUCUGUGAUGGAGACGACGGUUUUAAGUUAGCAUACUUUUUCCUAGCCUCACUGCUGUCAAUGGUUUCUUUUGGUGGGGCGAUUGUACCAUACUGUGCAAUCUCAUAUGGAGGUGGAAAGGGAUCACCGCGCUGGAUUUGGUUGGGGUAAUGGUCUUCCAUUUGUGGAGUGUAGUGUUCCUUUUGUGGAGAAGAGGUGGAAAAUGAAGGCUUCCAACCUUGCGUUUCAUGAUCAGGGUAGCUUUGUUUCAUUUCAGGUGUUGAUUGUUGCUUAGGAGAAGAGGAAAACAGAGACUUCCAACCUUUUGUCUUCUUUGGGUUACUUUCGUUGUUUUGAGAUGGUGGAUUUGCAGUUGAAAAAUGUGACGGUUGUGUAGAAACAGGGGAAAACAUAGGGUUUGUGUCGUGUGCUGUCGCAGGGUAACUUUCUUUCCUUUGCGAUGUCGGAUUAGAAGUUGGUGAAUAGGAUUGUGGUGUAUAAGCAGGGUUCACGGGCUUUAUGCCGUGUGCUGUUUCAGGGUAGCUUUCUUUCCUUUGAGGUGUCGGGUUUGAAGUUGGUGAGUGUGAUUGUGGUUUAUAAACAGGGGAAAACAGAGGUUUCGGGCCAUGAUUCGUUUCAGGGUAGCUUUCUUUCUUUUGAGGUAUCGGGUUUGAAGUUGGUAAAUGUGAUUGUGGUGUAUAAACAGGGGAAAACAGAGGCUUUGGACCAUGAUUCGUUUCAGGGUAGCUCUCUUUCCUUUGAGUUAUCGGGUUUGAAGUUGGUGAAUGUGGUUGUUGUUGCGAGUAAACAGGUGAAAACAGAGGCUUUGGACCAGGAGUUGUUUCAGGGUAGCUCUCUUUCCUUGGAGGUAUCGGGUUUGAAGUUGAUGAAUGUGGUUGUUGUGAAUAAACAGGGGGAAACAGAGGUUUUGGGCUGUAUGCUGUUUCAGGGUAGCUUUCUUUCUUUUGAGGUGUCGGGUUUGAAGUUGGUGAAUGUUGUUGUUGUGUAUGAAAAGGGGAAAACACAGGCUUUGCGCCGUGCGCUGACUCAGGAUAGCUUUCUUUUCUCUGAGGUGUCGGGUUUGAAGUUGGAGAAUCUGGUCGUUGUGUGUGAACAGGGGAAAACAGAGGCUUCAUUCCUUUUGUUGGUUCAGAGUAACUCUCUUUCCUUUCGGCUAUCGGAUUUGAUGUAGAAUAAUAGGAUGGUUGGGUAGAAACAGGUGAAGCCGAAGGCUUUCCACCUUGAGUUCUCUCAGGGUAACUUUCUUUUAUAUGUGGAGUUGAGUAAGAUGCUGGAAAAUGUGAUUGUGGUGCAUAAGUCGGAGAAGCCCGAGGCUUGUUACCUUCCUGAAGGAUCCUCAUGGCAGUGCCAAUAUCAUUUGUGGCUUGGGUAAGUGGAGGACUAGUUGUUUUGUAACCUCCAUUGAAUUUUGGCUUGCCAUAAUCAUCUUUAUUGUUACUAUAUGGGCUUUUAACAUAAUCAUCAUGACUUCUCCUGCUAUCCCAAUCCCCAUGAGUUGAUCUUGGUGGUGAAUCCCAUGUGUUGUUGACUCCAUAGUCCUUGACAUGGCCAGACUUGGGAGAAUCCAUGGACUGGACAUAGCCGUCACUAUACUUAAACGGACUUGAUCCUCGAUUAUCUUGAAGGUGCAACCCUUCAAACUUAUUGCGAAGAGGGCUGCCACUAAAAUCGCGAUGCUCCCUAUACUUGGGAGAAUCCUGAUCUUCGCUUAUCCAACUAGGUUUUUUAGUGAUCAACUUUGGAGGACUCAAAAGAGUGGAAUGAGUUGGUCGGCUGACUUCACUAUGAAUUAUGUCGAAGAAGUCAUUGACCUUCCUAGGACUAUGAUCGUCCCACUCCUCGUGCCCAUUGUACUCAUCUAGAAGACCAUUCAUGGGAAUAUCAUAACUACGACGAACUUCAACAACUCUUUGAGCUCUCACCACAUAACCCUUGACUCCAUGUUCAGUUGAGUAGGAAACAAUUGGAUUCCUACUUCCUUGAACAUCAACGAUCACAGGGCGACAAACAUGAUCAGGGUAGUCACUCAUCGUAGUAAUUGGUUUCCCCCAAUCAUCUUCGUAUGGUUGCACCUCAUUGUAGGUGUUAAAACCUCCACCCCUGCCAUAACUAGCCAUAACUAUUAUUUGGACUAUACCUGCUUCUUUAUUUUUAUUUUUUUUCCUUGCUAAGUUUUAAGCAAGUUGAACUCUCUCCUUAUAUAGAAAGUAGAGUCAUGUUGCAUGUGUAUCCAUUUUUUUUUUUCCUUUAUUCUGUUUCUACUGUCUCUAUUUUUGGAUUCCCUUAGCUUUCUCCAUAAUGUGAAAGAACCAAAUUCUCCAUAUACUUAGCCUGGCUGUGAGGUUUUCAUUUCCCAUUGGUGUAUCUUCAUGAGAGGGCUAGUAGGACCAAGCAGGACAAGGGUAACAAAAGUUUUUUGUGAAAAUAAUUUAGGGUAUAAUAAAAGAUAGAUGUGAAUCUUUCAUUCUUCAAGUAAA